AGAGUUUGAUCAUGGCUCAGAUUGAACGCUGGCGGCAGGCCUAACACAUGCAAGUCGAGCGGUAGCACAGAGAGCUUGCUCUCGGGUGACGAGCGGCGGACGGGUGAGUAAUGUCUGGGAAACUGCCUGAUGGAGGGGGAUAACUACUGGAAACGGUAGCUAAUACCGCAUAACGUCGCAAGACCAAAGUGGGGGACCUUCGGGCCUCAUGCCAUCAGAUGUGCCCAGAUGGGAUUAGCUAGUAGGUGGGGUAAUGGCUCACCUAGGCGACGAUCCCUAGCUGGUCUGAGAGGAUGACCAGCCACACUGGAACUGAGACACGGUCCAGACUCCUACGGGAGGCAGCAGUGGGGAAUAUUGCACAAUGGGCGCAAGCCUGAUGCAGCCAUGCCGCGUGUGUGAAGAAGGCCUUCGGGUUGUAAAGCACUUUCAGCGGGGAGGAAGGCGUUAAGGUUAAUAACCUUGGCGAUUGACGUUACCCGCAGAAGAAGCACCGGCUAACUCCGUGCCAGCAGCCGCGGUAAUACGGAGGGUGCAAGCGUUAAUCGGAAUUACUGGGCGUAAAGCGCACGCAGGCGGUCUGUCAAGUCGGAUGUGAAAUCCCCGGGCUCAACCUGGGAACUGCAUUCGAAACUGGCAGGCUAGAGUCUUGUAGAGGGGGUAGAAUUCCAGGUGUAGCGGUGAAAUGCGUAGAGAUCUGGAGGAAUACCGGUGGCGAAGGCGGCCCCCUGGACAAAGACUGACGCUCAGGUGCGAAAGCGUGGGGAGCAAACAGGAUUAGAUACCCUGGUAGUCCACGCCGUAAACGAUGUCGAUUUGGAGGUUGUGCCCUUGAGGCGUGGCUUCCGGAGCUAACGCGUUAAAUCGACCGCCUGGGGAGUACGGCCGCAAGGUUAAAACUCAAAUGAAUUGACGGGGGCCCGCACAAGCGGUGGAGCAUGUGGUUUAAUUCGAUGCAACGCGAAGAACCUUACCUGGUCUUGACAUCCACAGAACUUUCCAGAGAUGGAUUGGUGCCUUCGGGAACUGUGAGACAGGUGCUGCAUGGCUGUCGUCAGCUCGUGUUGUGAAAUGUUGGGUUAAGUCCCGCAACGAGCGCAACCCUUAUCCUUUGUUGCCAGCGGUCCGGCCGGGAACUCAAAGGAGACUGCCAGUGAUAAACUGGAGGAAGGUGGGGAUGACGUCAAGUCAUCAUGGCCCUUACGACCAGGGCUACACACGUGCUACAAUGGCAUAUACAAAGAGAAGCGACCUCGCGAGAGCAAGCGGACCUCAUAAAGUAUGUCGUAGUCCGGAUUGGAGUCUGCAACUCGACUCCAUGAAGUCGGAAUCGCUAGUAAUCGUAGAUCAGAAUGCUACGGUGAAUACGUUCCCGGGCCUUGUACACACCGCCCGUCACACCAUGGGAGUGGGUUGCAAAAGAAGUAGGUAGCUUAACCUUCGGGAGGGCGCUUACCACUUUGUGAUUCAUGACUGGGGUGAAGUCGUAACAAGGUAACCGUAGGGGAACCUGCGGUUGGAUCACCU
rnacentral:rRNA from 1 species